rnacentral:tRNA from 2 species
GUACCUGUAGCUCAGUUGGAUAGAGCGUCUGGCUACGGACCAGAAGGUCGGGAGUUCGAAUCUCUCCAGGUACGCCA